rnacentral:misc_RNA from 1 species
GCAAACUUGGUCAUUUAGAGGAAGUAAAAGUCGUAACAAGGUUUCCGUAGGUGAACCUGCGGAAGGAUCAUUACCAAAUCUUAGCUGUCUGGCCGCAAGGCCCUGACGCUUCAACCCUUUGUGAACCAAAAAAACCUUUCGCUUCGGCAGCAGCCCCAACCGGAAACGGCGCGGGUGUCAGCCUGCCGCUAGCACCAAACCAAAAAACUUGCAGUAAAACAUUGUCUGAUAACCAAAUUUUCGAAUGAAAAUUAAAACUUUCAACAACGGAUCUCUUGGUUCCCGCAUCGAUGAAGAACGCAGC